UACGGAGGGAGCGUAGCGUUAUUCGGAAUUACUGGGCGUAAAGCGCACGUAGGCGGCUUUGUAAGUUAGAGGUGAAAGCCUGGAGCUCAACUCCAGAAUUGCCUUUAAGACUGCAUCGCUUGAAUCCAGGAGAGGUGAGUGGAAUUCCGAGUGUAGAGGUGAAAUUCGUAGAUAUUACGGAAGAACACCAGUGGCGGAAGGCGGCUCACUGGACUGAUAUUGACGCUGAGGUGCGAAAGCGUGGG
rnacentral:rRNA from 1 species